rnacentral:rRNA from 1 species
UACAGAGGUCCCCAAGCGUUGUUCGGAUUCACUGGGCGUAAAGGGUGCGUAGGUGGUUAGGUAAGUCUAAUGUGAAAUCUCCGAGCUCAACUCGGAAACUGCAUCGGAUACUAUCUAGCUUGAGGGUUGAGGGGCGUGGAUACUGUGUAGCAGUGAAAUGCGUAGAUAUCAAGUGGAACACCAGUGGCGAAGGCGAGUCCCUGGACAACUCCUGACACUGAGGCGACGAAAGAC